rnacentral:rRNA from 1 species
AUGCACGCUGGCGGCGUGCCUCAUCCAUGCAAGUCGAGCGAACAGACGAGGAGCUUGCUCCUCUGACGUUAGCGGCGGACGGGUGAGUAACACGUGGAUAACCUACCUAUAAGACUGGGAUAACUUCGGGAAACCGGAGCUAAUACCGGAUAAUAUAUUGAACCGCAUGGUUCAAUAGUGAAAGACGGUUUUGCUGUCACUUAUAGAUGGAUCCGCGCCGCAUUAGCUAGUCGGUAAGGUAACGGCUUACCAAGGCAACGAUGCGUAGCCGACCUGAGAGGGUGAUCGGCCACACUGGAACUGAGACACGGUCCAGACUCCUACGGGAGGCAGCAGUAGGGAAUCUUCCGCAAUGGGCGAAAGCCUGACGGAGCAACGCCGCGUGAGUGAUGAAGGUCUUCGGAUCGUAAAACUCUGUUAUUAGGGAAGAACAAAUGUGUAAGUAACUAUGCACGUCUUGACGGUACCUAAUCAGAAAGCCACGGCUAACUACGUG